AGGGGCAGCAUGAUCUUAGCUUGCUAAGGUUGAUGGCGACCGGCGCACGGGUGCGUAACGCGUAUGCAACUUGCCUUACAGAGGGGGAUAACCCGUUGAAAGACGGACUAAAACCGCAUACACUUGUAUUAUUGCAUGAUAUUACAAGGAAAUAUUUAUAGCUGUAAGAUAGGCAUGCGUCCCAUUAGCUGGUUGGUGAGGUAACGGCUCACCAAGGCGACGAUGGGUAGGGGAACUGAGAGGUUUAUCCCCCACACUGGUACCGAGACACGGACCAGACUCCUACGGGAGGCAGCAGUGAGGAAUAUUGGUCAAUGGGCGAGAGCCUGAACCAGCCAAGUCGCGUGAAGGAAGACAGUCCUAAGGAUUGUAAACUUCUUUUAUACGGGAAUAACGGGCGAUACGAGUAUUGCAUUGAAUGUACCGUAAGAAUAAGCAUCGGCUAACUCCGUGCCAGCAGCCGCGGUAAUACGGAGGAUGCGAGCGUUAUCCGGAUUUAUUGGGUUUAAAGGGUGCGUAGGUUGUUCGGUAAGUCAGCGGUGAAACCUGAGCGCUCAACGUUCAGCCUGCCGUUGAAACUGCCGGGCUUGAGUUCAGUGGCGGCAGGCGGAAUUCGUGGUGUAGCGGUGAAAUGCAUAGAUAUCACGAGGAACUCCGAUUGCGAAGGCAG
rnacentral:rRNA from 1 species